AGAUAUAUAUAUAUAUAGAGGCUCACCAUAACGAAACAAUAUGCUUUCACUACUAUAACCCAUCACACUAAACCAAUUCCUAAUACAUAGAAGCACUUCUCACCUUAACAAACACCAUUCCCUUCAUAAAACUAGAACUACUCUACCGUUGAAAGUUGCCAAUUUGAAAUCAGCUAGCAAAACAUCACAAUGAAUUGCUUCCUUGUUUGUUACAAUGAUUCCUUCAAUAGCCACUUUCAAAGUAAUCAUCUUCUUCUUCUUGUGCACCCAUUUUGAUGUUAGUAUUGUUGUCUCUGUCCAACACAAAUUUUAUAUCUGUGUUAAGGCACAUAUUCGUCACACACGUAAAUAAUGUGCAUAAUAUUGGUGUUGUUACAAAUAGGAUAAAAAAAUUACUAAAUUGAUGGAUGCGGUGUUGGCCGCUGCAUCCCUUAAUAAAAAAGAGUUUAUGAUACAUCGUAAAGAAGGAUGUCUACAUAGAGAUAGUUAUUAUCGAUACAAAAAAGUUGAAUCGCAUAUCUCCGACAACUUGAAGAAUGUUCAAAAUCAUUUGACCACAUACUCCACAGCUACAUUUGGUACCUGCAGCAAUCAAGGGUUGAGGAUUUAUGGUUAUAAUCAAGAUACAUUGUACGCGUAAAAUCAAUGGUUCCAUAUAUUUCAUGUUUGAGUAUGCAGUUACAAUAUUUCAAAACUGUUAAAAAGAGUUACCAAAACAAAGUAACACCAUCAGCUCAAGGAGGAAGAAAUUAUGUUACCAAACCAUUUGAAUUUUCAGUCCAAUUUUGCAAUAUCUCAUGAUAUUGACCUUUUUCCCUUAGUUUAGUUGACAAAACAUAUCUCGAAAGACUCUGAAAGACAUAUUAAAAAAUAAUAUUCAAGCAAUCUAAUUUCAUUACCUUCGUGGGAAUCUAUAGUUACCUUCAACAAGUGUACCAUUCACUUUUAGGGUUGAGAAUCAAAACACUAUUUAGGGAAAUUAUACAAUCUAAUAUGAUUACCUUCGUGGGAACCUAUGGUUACCUUCAACAAAUGUACCAUUCACUUUUGGGGUUAGGAAUCAAAACACUAUUUGGGGAAAUUAUAGUAGGAGUUAAAAACUUUUAUAUUUUCGGUAUAUUAUAAUUAUUUAUAGGCAUGAUUUUAUGUAUAGUUAUGUUAAAAGUUAAAUAAUUCUAAUGAUUUAACGGCUGUGAUUGACUGACAAUGUAAAGAUUCGUUAUAUUAAUGUAUACAUGAAUUGAAUCCUUGUACGUAAUAGAAUUGAACAAAUGAUAGUUUCAUGUUCGCUUUUAUUAAUA